rnacentral:rRNA from 1 species
UACGAAGGGGGCUAGCGUUGCUCGGAAUCACUGGGCGUAAAGGGCUCGUAGGCGGUUUGUCGCGUCGGGAGUGAAAACACGGGGCUUAACCCCGUGCCUGCUUCCGAUACGGGCAGACUAGAGGUAUGCAGGGGAGAACGGAAUUCCUGGUGUAGCGGUGAAAUGCGCAGAUAUCAGGAGGAACACCGGUGGCGAAGGCGGUUCUCUGGGCAUUACCUGACGCUGAGGAGCGAAAGUGUGGGGAGCGAACAGG